CAUUCCUCAACCUUCAACCACCCCAAGUCUCUUUCCAUUCUCAAGCUUAAUUUCCACUAGCUCUCCCUUCUAUCUUCUGUAUCCUUAUUCUCUUCUCUGGGUGGUUUAUCUGUGAUCAUCAAACACAUGUCUACCUCUGAAUCUGAAGUUUCUUCACCUUCUGUAAGAGUUCAGUUGGUGUCAAAAUGGGUGUCUGACCAACUACUCGGCAAAUUCUCGGAUGUGUCGGAAUUCAGUUUCGACUACCAGCAGAGUGGGUUGUGGUCUCCUCCGGUAAGAAGAAGUGUUUUCUUGAACUCGCCGGAUAAUAUAUGCACUGACAAUGAAAUGCUAGCAAGGCUAAAAAUUGCUAAUAGGAUACGCCGUCCCCGGAGGCACAAGUUUUGUUUCAAAGCGUUUUGGUGUCUCGUGAAGUGAACGUCUGCGUUGCGGUGGUGCCAAAGCAGUUGUCUCGCCGGAGGUGGUUUACGGUUUACCUCAUGUUAGCAGUAGGACAAAAAUACCCUUGAACUUUGCAAGUAAUUAUCAAAUGUCACAUGUAUCAAAUGAAAAAUUAUAUACAAAAAAAGCAGAUUCCCAUGGAUCCUUUGUUGU